GAUGAACGCUGGCGGCGUGCCUAAUACAUGCAAGUCGAGCGAACAGACGAGGACUUUGCUCCUCUGACGUUAGCGGCGGACGGGUGAGUCACACGUGGAUAACCUACCUAUAAGACUGGGAUAACUUCGGGAAACCGUAUCUUAUACCGGAUAAUAUAUUGAACCGCAUGGUUCAAUAGUGAAAGUCGGUUUUGCUUUCACUUAUAGCCGAACCCGGGCGUGAUUAGCUAGUUGGUAAGGUAGCGGCUUACCAAGGCAACGAUGGGGAGCCGACCUGAGAGGGUGAUCGGCCACACUGGAACUGAGAGGCGGUACAGACUCCUAGGGGAGGCAGCAGUAGGGAAGCGUCCGAGAUGGGCGGAAGCCUGACGGAGCAACGCCGCGUGAAUGAUGAAGGUCUUCGGAUCGUAAAACUCUGUUAUUAGGGAAGAACAAAUGUGUAAGUAACUAUGCACGUCUUGACGGUACCUGAUCAGAAAGCCACGGCUAACUACGUG
rnacentral:rRNA from 1 species